rnacentral:rRNA from 1 species
CCUACGGGUGGCAGCAGUGGGGAAUAUUGCACAAUGGGGGAAACCCUGAUGCAGCGACGCCGCGUGAGCGAUGAAGUAUUUCGGUAUGUAAAGCUCUAUCAGCAGGGAAGAAAAUGGCGGUACCUGACUAAGAAGCCCCGGCUAACUACGUGCCAGCAGCCGCGGUAAUACGUAGGGGGCAAGCGUUAUCCGGAUUUACUGGGUGUAAAGGGAGCGUAGACGGCUGUGCAAGCCAGGAGUGAAAGCCCGGGGCUCAACCCCGGGACUGCCUUUGGAACUGUGCGGCUGGAGUGCAGGAGAGGCAGGUGGAAUUCCUAGUGUAGCGGUGAAAUGCGUAGAUAUUAGGAGGAACACCAGUGGCGAAGGCGGCCUGCUGGACUGUGACUGACGUUGAGGCUCGAAAGCGUGGGGAGCAAACAGGAUUAGAUACCCGAGUAGUC